GACGUAGGAGGCGAGCGUUAUCCGGAUUUACUGGGCGUAAAGCGCACGCAGGCGGCUUCGUUAGUCGGAUGUGAAAGCUCCUGGCUUAACCGGGAGAGGCCAUUCGAUACUGCGAGGCUUGAGGUUGGAAGAGGGGUGUGGAAUUCCCGGUGUAGUGGUGGAAUGCGUAGAUAUCGGGAGGAACACCUGUGGCGAAAGCGGCACCCUGGUCCACACCUGACGCUGAGGUGCGAAAGCGUGGGUAGCAAACAGG
rnacentral:rRNA from 2 species